CGAGCUGAUUGGUUAUCAGCCAAAGACAAUGCUUGGACACACUUCUUAUGAGUUCUACCACUCCCUCGACACCGAUCAUAUGACCAAGAUGCACCGUAUCUUGCUGAGUAAGGGGCAGGUUAUUUCGGCUCAGUACCGGUUCCUGGCCUGCGGUGGGGGUUAUGUUUGGCUACAGACACAAGCCAGCACCAUCUACAGCAGGAGCAACCAACCUCAGUGUAUCAUCUGCAUCAACUCCGUGCUCAGCAACGUGAUAGAGGACUCUGUCACCUUCUCAUUGGAUCAGACCAGACUCCAGACCCCUGAUACCCACCCGGAGAACAGCCAGCAUCUCCUGACCCAGACGGAGGAGAAUCAGAAGAAAUUGGAUGAACUGGCACCUGUUCCUGAAGAUACCAUCACUCCCCUGGACUUGGCAGGUCCGACAGAUGCGAAAGCGUUCCACUUCACCAGAAGGAUCCCGGAGAAUCACCAGGCAACCCUAUCCCCAGAGGAAUUCUGUAGCCCCGCACUCUGCAAGCUUCUGUCACCAAUCUUUGAUGGCCCAGAGUCAAGGAGGUCCAGCACAGACUCCAAGCCACUCAGCAAAACACAGGAGAGGGCAAAGGAGGACGCUGUGGCACCAGGGGGUACAGUCCCCAAACCAGGCAGCUGUGAGACCUCCAGCAUGAACAUCAAGGAGCCUGAGAAUAACCUGAUGGCAAUCGGUAGCAAAACUCUGCAAACUGAGACAAACCAGGAACCGAUGGAGCUGGACCUGGAGAUGUUAGCACCGUACAUCUCCAUGGAUGAGGACUUCCAGCUGAGCAGCUUUGAGUGUGCAGAAGACAAGGACAGACAGGUGUGUGCUGAUGUUCACCCAGACUCCGAUGGACAGAAUGCCACAGCAACAGACUCUGAAGGCUUGUCUGCGACAGCGAGCGAGCCAAGGAGCACAGAUCCUUCCAGCAACCGCCCCAGGUCCAGCAGCUUCCACAGGGUCCGGCCCCAGAGACGGGGGGACACUCCCCACCCAAAGGGAACUUCGGCUGCUCUGCCAUGUUCCAGCAGUGCAACCGAUCUCAGCAAGACCCCGGCCCCAGCUCCCAGCGGCCACCUGAUCGCUUUUGGAGGGCCAGCAUUCACUGUGGCUGUCAAGAACGUCCUCCUGGCUUUAUUCCAGCCCCAUGCCACCGACGCCGAAAUUCAAAUCAGCCAAACUGCCAGCACUGAAGGCCAAGAAACAACAUUUGCAACAGCCACCGAAGGGCUUGAGCCAAGCGAUCUCCUGGAAGCUGCUGGACUUGUCAGCGAUGCCAAAUGCUCCCCAUCCAAACAGAGGACUCAGGGUGACUGGGAGGUCAGCAAGAACCAAGAGGAACUCAGCCCCCAGGUGCCGGACCUUUGUAACCUCAAAAGGAAACACUCUCUGCUGAACGGGAGCUUUCAGGAUUCGGAUCUGGAUGUUGCAAGUGUUGCUGACAUUGUCCAAGUGACAGCGAAACGAUUGAAAAGGCUCGAGAAUCAGAAAGCUGCUGGAGUCGAGGAAACUCAGCCAUCGGUCACCCCAAUGACAUUGAUCAUGCAGCUACUUGGGAAGGAGGUGCCCGGACCACCAGAGCCCACCCGUUAUGACUGUGAAGUGAAUGCUCCGUUACCAGAUAGGCACCGUCUCCUACAGGGCCCUGAGUUACUGAAAGCCCUGGAUCAGUCCUCCUGAGCUCCCUCACUGAACCUACUGCCCUCGGGAGGAUACGGCACUGCCCCCCAGCGGGGUGUGGCCUGGGCAGGGGGUGGGCAGUCAGUUUUGUAACCUGAAUAGACAGCCAUCGUUGCGGUGGAGCUACAAGCUUUGCGAAUGAAGCUGCGUUGGAAGUACACACCAACACAACUGUAGCUUCAAUUAUAGGAAGGAACAGACCAGGAAUGUGAGCCAAAAUUCCCUGGAGCAGCUGUGUUCUAUUGCAGCUGAUCCCAGGGGAGUCUGCUGAGCACACGUGUACCAAACAUAUCAUUUUGAAAAAUUCUCCUCUUUAAAUGAAACACGGUUCAACGCUGGGAGGGAAUCGUUCUGAACAGAUUGCAUGCUUUACGUGAGAAUGAAACCAGUUUCCUAUGUCCGGGACCAAGUUACUUAUUCCCUGUCUGUGUGCACGGCCUGCCAUGCACCAGGAUAUCAUCGCCACUCUCGUAAUCCUGUAGACUGCCCUUUCAGGCGAGACACUGCUCUUGACGCUGUUUUCUGCAGGACUGCAGAUGUUUCUCUGAGCUACUAGGGACAGAAACCCUUAGCAUUGUUCUGUCAGGUGCCCUGGCACAUUAUCCCUGAGGAAUGAGAGGGAAGAAAUAAAUUAAUAAGGAGCUGCCUCUUCCUUUCCCAGCUCCUACUGAGUCUCUCACCGACCUGGAUACUAAACUCUUUGGAUUCCCUCCUGAAACCCCUCAUUCCUCCUUUUUAAGAAUCUCAUGAAAACCUAUCUCUUUGAUCAAGCUUUUGUUUGAAUAUCACCUUCUGUGUUUUUGGUAAUGCUCCUGUGAAGUACUAUGGCACAUUUAAGGUGCUAUGUAAAUGCAGUUUGUCAUUUUGAUCCCUGCGGGCACCCCCUUGCUGUUCAGGGAGAUAACCAGUCAGGAACAUAGGAUCCUCUCGGAGACAGAGGGCACACAGUGACAACACUUGUUCAUCUUUCAGUCCCCAGUCUCUGAUCUUAAUCACAGAGCGAUGCACAUCACAGACAACAUCAAACAGAGUAGGGAGCUUAGAGCUGUAACAGGGACAGCAGGGAACUGACUGUAGGCUUCUGGUCUUCUCAAACUCCACAGCAUUAGGCUCGGUACUGACCAGAUCAACACCUCACAUUUACUGCCCAGGUACAGGUGUGGGUCAUAGUCGCAGAUCCCCUACUAAUGUGUUUGCUAAACCCUGGACCACAUACUGAGGAGUAGAGGAAACACUGGUCAAUUGCUUACCUGUUAAAUUACCAAGAGCCACUCACUACAGAGCAAGCAAGAAAGAAAUCAUUGGCACAAAAAAAGAAAUUGCUGGAAAAUCUCAGCAGGUCUGGCAGCGUCCGUGGAGAGAAAUCAGAGUUAAUGUUUCAGGUCAAAUGACCCUUCCUCAAAAUGUUCUGAGGAAGGGUCACUUGACCCGAAACUCCGAUUUCUCUCCACAGGUGCUGCCAGGCUUUUCCAGCAACUUCUGUUUUCAUUCCUGGUUUACAGUGUCUGCAGUUCUUUUGGUUUUAAUUAAAGAAAUCACUGGUGCAAUCUUGAGCAAUUUGUCAUGAUGCUACAGAGCCAGGUCGCUAAAUCUCCAGGCUCAUCCUGGAAUCUUCAGGAGUUAACAAGUUUUCACUCCGCAUGCACAGAGCUGGAGGGAACAAUCAUGGUGGCAUUAAAACACAACACUGUUCUCCUCCCGCCCCAUCUCAUUUCAUUUGAAGAUUUUUUUUUGUUGAUUGGUAUUUAGGAAUAUUGAUGCUGGGAAAAGAGGUGUUUUGGUUAAUGAGCAAGAAAGAUCUCACUGGGUUAAGGGUCACCUUACUGGUUGGCAGUUCUGUAGUUGGCCUAGGUAGUGAGCUUGGGGUAGAGAGGUAGGUGAUGAUGGCAAAAGCUGGGUGUUGGGAGAAUGGCCAACUUUUCUAAGACCCUCAUCUCAGCUGCUGACAAAGAACUGCCAAGGUAAGGGCUCGAGGGGCAACAAAGCAUCAGCAAAGAGAGACGGUCAAGGAGCUCCCAGUGGGCACACUGUCCAUGGUGGGACAUCUCUCGAUGGGAUCAUCUUGGUUUCUGUUCCCAGGAAUUUACUGCUACGUCCCCGCUUUUCCAAGGAGUACUGAUCAUGGCCCUCUGCUCCCAGAGGCUUUGCUGAACUGAUUUGCCUUCUGGCCUAACCCUGAGUCAUUUCUUGUGUGAUUAUACCAUGAUUGGUGAGAAUAUAACACAUGAUAUUACCAGAAUGAAAUCACCACAAUUAUUAUUUUAAAGUGUAAUUGACAGGAUUUUCUUAUUCUGGGAAAUAAAACAACCUUUAAUACUC